CCUACGGGUGGCUGCAGUGAGGAAUAUUGGUCAAUGGGCGCGAGCCUGAACCAGCCAAGUAGCGUGAAGGAUGACUGCUCUACGGGUUGUAAACUUCUUUUAUAAAGGAAUAAAGUGAGGCACGUGUGCCUUUUUGUAUGUACUUUAUGAAUAAGCAUCGGCUAACUCCGUGCCAGCAGCCGCGGUAAUACGGAGGAUGCGAGCGUUAUCCGGAUUUAUUGGGUUUAAAGGGUGCGUAGGCGGACGCUUAAGUCAGCGGUAAAAUUGCGGGGCUCAACCUCGUCGAGCCGUUGAAACUGGGUGCCUUGAGUGGGCGAGAAGUACGCGGAAUGCGUGGUGUAGCGGUGAAAUGCAUAGAUAUCACGCAGAACUCCGAUUGCGAAGGCAGCGUACCGGCGCCCAACUGACGCUGAAGCACGAAGGCGUGGGUAUCGAACAGGAUUAGAUACCCUGGUAGUC
rnacentral:rRNA from 1 species